GUGUUCACUUGGGCAGCACAUAUACUAAAAUUGGAAUGAUACAGAGAUUAGCAUGGCUCCUGUGCGAAGAUGACACACAAAUUUGUGAAGUAUUCCAUAUUUUA
rnacentral:snRNA from 1 species